rnacentral:miRNA from 1 species
ACACACUUUAUUCGUGUAUGUCUU